AGGGGUGUAGCUUAGCUGGUGGAAUGCUUGCCUAGCAUGCAUGAAGCCCCAGGUUCCAUUCCAAGCACCACUG
rnacentral:tRNA from 1 species